rnacentral:lncRNA from 13 species
GUAACUAUUUGGCCCAACAUAUCUCUGGCAUAUGCCUUCCUUUCCAUUCUUCAGGAUGGAUCAGACUUCCAGAGCUGUCCUUGUAUCAGUUAAAACACAAGUUUAACUGCUUUAACUGAAAGACUGAAUAAUAAUGAUUUAAACAACAUAGUUAUUUUUCUUUCAUGUAGAUAUCUCUGUGACUAGAUGUCCAGACAUCUCUGUGACUGCUCUAGUAUUGGCAGGUGGCUCCAUCGUCACUGGAACCCAGACACCUUUUAUCAAGCUGCAGCCCCUGUCUGGUGGCUCUGGAUGACUGCCCCAGCUAUGCCUUCUCAGGGAAUGCAGGGCCACUCCUUUUUAGGACAGAGAAGGAAAAACUGCUUAUUUGUGGGAGCUGCUGGAGAAGCUUACAUCUGAAGGAGCAACUGACAAAUUAUUGGGAUAAACGUAAUAGAAGCAAUUUCUUGGAAAGAAACUUCUGAAUACCAACUCUUUAGUACUAUGUCAACUUCCCCAAAGACACAAAUCCUGGAGGUGCUUAUUAAAACCACAGACUCGUAGGCCCUCCCUAAAGACCUUCUAAAUCACCAUUUCCAGGGAAGAGCUCUGAAACUUGAGAAUUUUUAGGCACUUCAGGUGAUUCUUAACAGAGAAGCAGGAUAAUGAUACAUUCUUUCAGUGAAGAGGCUCAGGCUCCUUUUCCAAUCACAGCAGCUGCUGGGGGUAGGAGGCUACCUUUCUUGCUCCUGCUGUCUACAGCCAGGCAAAAAGCCUCCACUUCUCCCUGCUGCUAUUGGUCACGUGGACCAGGAAAUGCUUGGAGGGGCUGGGAACGAGCUGUUGAUUGAGAGUGAGAGAGCCAAUGAGAAACCAGAGUAGUCGCUCACCCAGAGAGCUUUUUUUGGUGGGGGAUGGGGUUGGACUUAGCCUUCACUGUCUAUAAUACGGCAAAGGGUAGUGCAAGGUGCUUGCACUCAGCAGAGCCUGUGGCUGGUGGAAGGUGAGUGGUUAGGAGUGUGUGUUGGGUGCUUGCGUGGGUUGCAGUGAAGAAAGUAGGGAAAAGUGGGGAAGUGUUGCUAUAAAGCCAUUUUCUUCCUUGCUUGCUAAACAGGAAGGUUGUGGGAAAGAAAGUAGAGAAAAGCUGUGAAGUGUUGGUAUGAAGCCUUUUUCUUUCUUGCUAAAUGGGAAGGUUGUGGGAAAGAAAACAGGGAAACGCUGGGAAGCAUUGGUAUAAAGCCUUUUUCUUUCUAACUUUCUAAAGAGGAAGGUUGUGGGAAAGAAAGGGAAAAGCUGAGAAGUGUGCUUGGGAAAGCUGUAUAACGUUUUUUAUCUCGUAAAGAGGAAGGUUGUGGGAAAGUAGGGA